rnacentral:rRNA from 1 species
UUUAAAUUUAGAGUUUGAUCCUGGCUCAGGACGAACGCUGGCGGCGUGCUUAACACAUGCAAGUCGAGCGAUGAAGCUUCCUUCGGGAAGUGGAUUAGCGGCGGACGGGUGAGUAACACGUGGGUAACCUGCCUCAAAGUGGGGGAUAGCCUUCCGAAAGGAAGAUUAAUACCGCAUAAUAUAAGAGAAUCGCAUGAUUUUUUUAUCAAAGAUUUAUUGCUUUGAGAUGGACCCGCGGCGCAUUAGCUAGUUGGUAAGGUAACGGCUUACCAAGGCAACGAUGCGUAGCCGACCUGAGAGGGUGAUCGGCCACAUUGGAACUGAGACAC